rnacentral:rRNA from 1 species
ACUAGCAGUAAGAGUUUGAUCCUGGCUCAGAACGAACGCUGGCGGCAGGCCUAACACAUGCAAGUCGAACGCUGUAGCAAUACAGAGUGGCAGACGGGUGAGUAACACGUGGGAAUCUUCCUAUCGGUACGGAAUAGCUCAGGGAAACUUGGGGUAAUACCGCAUACGCCCUUCGGGGGAAAGAUUUAUCGCCGAUAGAUGAGCCCGCGUCUGAUUAGCUAGUUGGUGAGGUAAUGGCUCACCAAGGCGACGAUCAGUAGCUGGUCUGAGAGGAUGACCAGCCACACUGGGACUGAGACACGGCCCAGACUCCUACGGGAGGCAGCAGUGGGGAAUAUUGGACAAUGGGCGCAAGCCUGAUCCAGCCAUGCCGCGUGGAUGAUGAAGGCCCUAGGGUUGUAAAGUCCUUUCGGCGGGGAAGAUAAUGACGGUACCUCGCGAAUAAGCCACGGCUAACUACGUGCCAGCCGCCGCGGUAAUAC